rnacentral:lncRNA from 1 species
GGGAGCCUCUGAUGCAGCUAUGACCUAACAAAUAUCCAGGACUCAGAUGAAACUAAUCCCAUGGUUUGUGGCAUUAACAUUCAUUAAUCAUCAACCACAACCAUAGUCUGACUUGCCUUCUGAGCAAAUAAAUUAGUGGUGUUGUGACAUUUAUUCAGGACCAAUUGGGUACGAGAAAUUAGUUCCUGAAUGAAGCGCUAUAAAUAAAUUAUUCUUUCGAUUGUGCAUAUGCUUUAUCUUACUUCUCUGGCUAGCUUUAUG